CGGGGCGUGGCGCAGCCUGGUAGCGUACUUGCAUGGGGCGCAAGAGGUCGCUGGUUCAAAUCCAGUCGUCCCGA
rnacentral:tRNA from 1 species